ACCAGACUCCUACGGGAGGCAGCAGUGGGGAAUAUUGCGCAAUGGGGGAAACCCUGAUGCAGCGACGCCGCGUGAGCGAAGAAGUAUUUCGGUAUGUAAAGCUCUCUCAGCAGGGAAGAAAAUGACGGUACCUGACUAAGAAGCCCCGGCUAACUACGUGCCAGCAGCCGCGGUAAUACGUAGGGGGCAAGCGUUAUCCGGAUUUACUGGGUGUAAAGGGAGCGUAGACGGCUGUGCAAGCCAGAUGUGAAAGCCCGGGGCUCAACCCCGGGACUGCAUUGGGAACUGCCAGGCUGGAGUGCCGGAAAGGCAGGCGGAAUUCCUAGUGUAGCGGUGAAAUGCGUAGAUAUUAGGAGGAACACCAGUGGCGAAGGCGGCCUGCUGGACGGUGACUGACGCUGAGGCUCGAAAGCGUGGGGAGCAAACAGGAUUAGAUACCCGUGUAU
rnacentral:rRNA from 1 species